CGGUUCUUCUCAGAUCUCAACCCUGCUGCGUUUCCGACCGGAAGUUAGACCAUCCGCUCCACGGUUCUCCAGGUUGCUGACCGCAAAUCUCUGAAUUGGCUCACAGGAGUAUGGAGACCGAGAAGUCCCAAAAUCUGUGUCCGCGUUAAACUGGACAACGCGAGAGCAGAUGGCGUGACUUCCGGUCGGGAACCCAGCGGCUUGAGAUCCGAGAAGAGCCGCGUUUCAGUUACACUCUGAAGGCAGGAAACAACCUUUUGGAAUGAGGUGUGCAACAUAAGCUUUAUGAAGAAAAUUUUUCCAGCUUUGUUGAGCACAGAUUGUCAGCCUAUUCCCCUGGACCAAUCAAUCUUGAAUGGAGAUAAGAAAUCUGUAUUAAAUCCUCAGGCAUUGCUACAUGUAUUGGUACUGAAUCAACACUUCGUCUAUGAAAAGAACGAUACCCGUGGUCCUUAUUAAUCAUCCUUUCAAUAAAUUAUUCUUUACCUGAGAUGACACUUUUUGACCUUCCUUUGAUGGACGUCAGCAGGAUGCCUGCCACAGCAUGACUUGAUAAGUGGUGCAUAGGUCCGCACCCGGGAUCCGAACCGGUGAACCCUGGGCCACUGAAGCAGAGUGCACAAACUUAACCACUGCACCACCGGACUGGCCCCAUGAAUUUUUUUAACAUGUAGAUAGAAAAGAGUUAAGAAGGAAUAAUCAGUGGGAAAUGAAGUAAAAGAGACUCAACUGCUAUUGUAUAUCAAAGUGGUGGGCACUCCAAAAUGAAUCUGGAAAGAUGAGAACCACAGAUAUAAAUUAGAGGGUCAUAGUAUUAAAAUGUUGUCUUUCAGGCUGUGGGACUAGAUAUCGCUUGCAAAGUGAUUGUUAUUGAUAUUAUGUAUUAUAUAUUGAUAUUAUAUAUUGAGAAAAAAGAGAGGGCCUACAAAUGGGUCACAGGGUAUUCCAUUAUGUAGAGGUCUGGAGAGGAACAGGCACCAACAAAGGAGAUUGAGAAGGCUGUCAGUGAGGAUGAUGGAGAAAAAAGACAGCGUAGGGUACGAGGAGCCAAGGGAAAAAACUUUUCAAGAAGACUAUGAUGGAAAACUACAUCUGGUGCUAUUACUACAAUUGGGUAAUUAUUUUGUUUAGCAAGGGAUAAGUAGUUUAAUUAUGCUGAGUUGCAGCAUGUCAGCUUGUAAAAUAGUAGUAGAGAUAGUAAGAUGUGAGUAGAUCCUAGAUGUAUUUUUGAAGGUAGAAACGUCCCAAUUUGCCAGUAGCCUGGAUGUGGGGAGUGAGAGAAUGUCUUCACAGUGUUGGGCAUGAAUGAUGAAACUAUAAAGUUACGAUGAACUAUUACAGGCGAGACUCUGAGAAGAAAGAUUUGGGACAGCAGAAUAGGAG
rnacentral:lncRNA from 1 species